UAGCUAAAUACUUGCAUAAGUUAAAAGCACUACCCUUUAGUGUAACCACAUGCACAUUAAAUCCACAUAGUUGGUCUACAUAAUUUUACUAAAGAUGGACAUAAAUGGUUCCCUGCAGUCAGAAUUUUAAUAUAGCACAUAAUGACUCCUGGCAGUAAGUCAGAUCUUGAUAUAACAGUCAGUAAGUUCUUGAUAUAACAUAUAAUUAUUCGUUGCAGUCAGAAACAAUUUGAAAUAUCCCAAUAUAGGCAAUAAAUUGAUAUCAAAAGCUAAGAUGGCUCCUAAGAGUGAGGCACAUGUUCACAGAGCCCCAUUUAACCAAUACAUAUUCCUUGUAUCAGUGAAUGGAACUGAACUGACUAUGGUCACGCUGGGCUGGUUUUAUACAAAUGUAGAAUUGAAUAUAUGCCAUACAUGAAUGAAAAGUGCUAUUGCAACACCAACCAGUAUUACACAGGUUCAGAUAGGGGAUGUGUCAAGUAGUUUUACACCCAGACCUCAAGAGACAGUAUUACUGGUUUUGUCAGACAAAGUGAAGAAGUGUCUAUGACAAAGCACUUCAAUUCAAGUGGUUGACUCUCCACUAGUACAACUUGACUAACACUCUGGUAACACAUCAGUCUAUCAGUUAACUCCCAGUAAUAACAGAGUGUAGUCAGUGAAAAGAGAUUCAAUACUACUGAAGUUUAGGAUCUGUGUGAAAGAUAUUGUUACUUUCAAAGAAUGGUUUAUUGUCCAGAACAAAAAGAAGAUGAAUGAGCUCCAAGUCUUGUAUAUAUAUCAAAGCAAGCUUUGUCAAGGUCUAAUGGGUACUUCAUAAGAAUUAAUCAAAACAGUAAUGCAUGGACACACUCAGGAACUAUCAAGGAUUUUAAUGGUAGUUAAGUUUUUAAAAUGGUACAGAUAGCACUGAGUUCUUAGCGCUCAAACAAAAGCUCUUUAUUAUAUACUGCUACAUGUAAAAUUGAAAAUAUACCACACAUAUUUCUGUCUUGCUACCUUUUCUAAAUGCAUUUUCACUUGUUUUGUUUUUUAAUAAGAGACUAAUAAUAGCCUAGCCACUCUGGAAGCUAAUUAAAUUUAAUCAGUUUAGUUGUCAAAUUAAGACACUGAAUUCAACGAUCAAAGAGAUU
rnacentral:sRNA from 1 species